GGUUGAGCGUAUGCUUCAAGAUGCCUUUCCUGGGGAAGAAAGG
rnacentral:ncRNA from 1 species